ACUCCUACGGGAGGCAGCAGUGAGGAAUAUUGGUCAAUGGACGCAAGUCUGAACCAGCCAUGCCGCGUGCAGGAAGACGGCUCUAUGAGUUGUAAACUGCUUUUGUACGAGGGUAAACUCACCUACGUGUAGGUGACUGAAAGUAUCGUACGAAUAAGGAUCGGCUAACUCCGUGCCAGCAGCCGCGGUAAUACGGAGGAUUCAAGCGUUAUCCGGAUUUAUUGGGUUUAAAGGGUGCGUAGGCGGUUUGAUAAGUUAGAGGUGAAAUCCCGGGGCUUAACUCCGGAACUGCCUCUAAUACUGUUAGACUAGAGAGUAGUUGCGGUAGGCGGAAUGUAUGGUGUAGCGGUGAAAUGCUUAGAGAUCAUACAGAACACCGAUUGCGAAGGCAGCUUACCAAACUAUAUCUGACGUUGAGGCACGAAAGCGUGGGGAGCAAACAGGAUUAGAUACCCUGGUAGUCCACGCAGUAAACGAUGAUAACUCGUUGUCGGCGAUACACAGUCGGUGACUAAGCGAAAGCGAUAAGUUAUCCACCUGGGGAGUACGUUCGCAAGAAUGAAACUCAAAGGAAUUGACGGGGGCCCGCACAAGCGGAGGAACAUGUGGUUUAAUUCGAUGAUACGCGAGGAACCUUACCCGGGCUUGAAAGUUACUGACGAUUCUGGAAACAGGAUUUCCCUUCGGGGCAGGAAACUAGGUGCUGCAUGGUUGUCGUCAGCUCGUGCCGUGAGGUGUCGGGUUAAGUCCCAUAACGAGCGCAACCCCUACCGUUAGUUGCCAUCAGGUCAAGCUGGGCACUCUGGCGGGACUGCCGGUGUAAGCCGAGAGGAAGGUGGGGAUGACGUCAAAUCAGCACGGCCCUUACGUCCGGGGCUACACACGUGUUACAAUGGGGGGUACAGAGGGCCGCUACCACGCGAGUGGAUGCCAAUCCCUAAAACCCCUCUCAGUUCGGACUGGAGUCUGCAACCCGACUCCACGAAGCUGGAUUCGCUAGUAAUCGCGCAUCAGCCAUGGCGCGGUGAAUACGUUCCC
rnacentral:rRNA from 1 species